GGGGGCCCGCACAAGCGGCGGAGCAUGCGGAUUAAUUCGAUGCAACGCGAAGAACCUUACCAAGGCUUGACAUGGACCGGACCGGGCUGGAAACAGUCCUUCCCCUUUGGGGCCGGUUCACAGGUGGUGCAUGGUUGUCGUCAGCUCGUGUCGUGAGAUGUUGGGUUAAGUCCCGCAACGAGCGCAACCCUCGUUCCAUGUUGCCAGCGCGUAAUGGCGGGGACUCAUGGGAGACUGCCGGGGUCAACUCGGAGGAAGGUGGGGACGACGUCAAAUCAUCAUGCCCCUUAUGUCUUGGGCUUCACGCAUGCUACAAUGGCCGGUACAAAGGGUUGCGAUACUGUGAGGUGGAGCUAAUCCCAAAAAGCCGGUCUCAGUUCGGAUUGGGGUCUGCAACUCGACCCCAUGAAGUCGGAGUCGCUAGUAAUCGCAGAUCAGCAACGCUGCGGUGAAUACGUUCCCGGGCCUUGUACACACCGCCCGUCAAGUCACGAAAGUUGGUAACACCCGAAGCCGGUGGCCUAACCCCUUGUGGGAGGGAGCUGUCGAAGGUGGGACUGGCGAUUGGGACUAAGUCGUAAACAAGGUAACCGUAAGGGC
rnacentral:rRNA from 1 species